rnacentral:rRNA from 1 species
CCUACGGGAGGCAGCAGUAAGGAAUCUUCCACAAUGGACGAAAGUCUGAUGGAGCAACGCCGCGUGCAGGAUGAAGGCUUUCGGGUCGUAAACUGCUUUUAUAUGGGAAGAUUAUGACGGUACCAUAUGAAUAAGGACCGGCUAACUACGUGCCAGCAGCCGCGGUAAUACGUAGGGUCCAAGCGAUAUCCGGAAUUACUGGGCGUAAAGCGUGUGUAGGUGGAUUAAUAAGUGUGAUGCGAAAUCCGGCGGCUCAACCGUUUGGACUGUGUCGCAUACUGUUAGUCUAGAGGACGGCAGAGGUAAGUGGAAUUACGGGUGUAGCAGUGAAAUGCGUAGAUAUCCGUAGGAACACCAAUGGCGAAGGCAGCUUACUGGGCCACGCCUGACACUGAGACACGAAAGCGUGGGGAGCGAACAGGAUUAGAUACCCUGGUAGUCCACGCCGUAAACGAUAGCAUACUAUUAGUAUAGGGUAGUCGUACCCUCGUGCUGAGAAGACUAACGACGAUAAGUAAUGCCGCCGUCGGGAGGUACGAGACGCGAAGACGUUAAAACUAACAAAGAAGUAAGUAGACGNGAGAGACGCGACGACGACGACGAGGAGGAGGAG